GCAAGUCCAAUGCCUCUUACCCCACCCCUCUCCCUCUUCGUAUCUGUUACAGUUCAAAUAGCUUCCUUGCCAUCUUUCCUCUUUCUGGCAUAAUGGCACAACGGCUCUCACAAAAUCAGGCAAAGGUCUUGCUAUUUCCGGGAAGAAUCCAAGGCAAAUCUCUUUUGAAUCCUGCCUCUCCGAUUCUUCCUCUUUUCUUUUGCCUCUACCAAGGUUCAAAUUUCAAAAGGGUUAGAGGUAAAAUCCCACCCAAAGGGCCCUAAGUUUCUUCUAUAAAUGCUUGCAAUAGGGAAAUAUUGUGGAGGACUUUUGGAUGCUAUCUUCUCCUCACUAAAAUUCACUAUUUCCUAUUAGCUAUCUCCUUAAGUAAAAGUUUUAACUUCAACACCUCUACUGUUUCUAUUUGGUAUUUACAUAGCAGAAAUUUUGGUUAUCCUUUAUUUAUUUUAGUUGAAUCUGCUUUUGCCCGAGAGGAAGGAGUAAGGUCGAGAUCGAAGUUCGAUAGUACAUCUAAGACCCGCCUCAGUUCGCUGCCCUGCAAAAGGUCUGUAUCUUCCCAUCUCGCUCUCAUUUUGAUUUUGAUUAGGGCACGUUUGAUGCAUGAUGUGUGUUUGCUGCGAGGGCUAUUAGUUUCUAUGAAGCUUUUAUGUUUGGUGCUAUAAAAAUAGCUCUAAUAAAUGUUUGUUUAAGGGAAUGAUCUAUGACUAAAGUUGUUAGCAAUAAUCCUUUAAGGAUAUCAUGUUCUGGUAUGUAGUGUUAGAAGCAUGCUUGACUGAUAUUUGAUGAAAUGCUCACAUGAAAAAGUAGAGAUUUAGGAAAAUUUUCUUUUCUUAUUAUCCCAAAUAUGCUGUACAGAAUGCAAAUUUAUACACCUAAAAAAUAGGAAUGAUGACUAUGGACAAUUACAACUAUAUUAAGUACAAGUGUGUCAUUCUUUAAUAUGUUAUCCUACUCAUUGUUUCCAUUAUGACAUUUGCAUCUAUAAUUGCAUUUGGAUAUUGAUGUUCUACAAAAAUAGACUGGAUGUGUUAAUAAAUUGGGCCAGACCUUAUGACAUAUUUGGGAUUCCAGUAUUUUGUUUAUUUGGACCAAUAUGUUAUAUUGGCCCAGUUUCGUGUUUGAGCCCCUGAAUCAUAUGUAUUGGUCUUCCAUUCUCUAGGUCAUUUGAGACACUUCUGCUUUCAUCUCUUCUUCAUCUUCUUCUGCGAUUGUAGUGAUGUGAGAGAUAGAGUUAAAAAAGACUGGUUUGUAGGAGAGACAUCCGUGAAAUUCAUAGUAGUAGGUGAGAUUGGUGCUGCAAGACAAAAUUUGGUUAGAUCAGUCAAGUACACAACAUUGCACACAUAAUCUGCCAGAUAUGAUGGUGGAUUGUGGUCCCUAGUAGACCGCCUUAGUUUAGUGGAAGGGGUAGGGAAGAUGGAGAGGAAAUACCCUUGGAGAUAGGAGAUGAGGUAGGAGUGUUGUGAGGUGAAGUUAUGGAAGGUUGUAUAGGGGAGUUAAAAUCUGACUCUGUGGAUAAAUGGAUAUUAGACGGAGAGAAAGAGUGAUUCGGGUCUUGAAUAGUAGAAACUUCUUUAGGAAAAAUUGGUUGUUCAGAUGAAGGAGACAAUAAUGGAAAUAUGUCCUCAUAAAAAAUAACAUCUCGUGAAAUAAAAAUAGCUUUAGAUUGAAGAUCCAACAAUUUGUAGCCUUUCUUUCCAAAAGAAUAACCUAUAAAAAUACACUUUACAGAUCUAGAUUCAAGUUUUGCUUUGUGAUGAGGUAAAGUAGAUGCAUAACCUAGACAACCAAAACAUUUGAGAAAAUCAUAAGAUGGAACUUUUCCAAAAAGAAUUUCUAAAGGUGUUUGAAAUUAAGAACUCUAGAGGGAAAUCGAUUUAUUAGAAAAGUAGCAGUUAACAAACAAUCACCCCAAUACAUGGUGGGGAGAUUAGAUUGAAAUAAUAGAGCCCUGCAUGUCUCUAAAAGAUGUUUGUGUUUUCGCUCAACCACUCCAUUUUGUUGUGGUGUGGAAACACAAGAGGUUUGAUGAACAAUUCCAUUAGAGGAUUUUUUUUUGAAAGAAUAGAUCCUGAUCCUAAUUCCAAAACAUUAUCAGAACGAAUGAUUUUAAUUUUUGUGGAAAACUGUCUUCCUACCAUUAUUAGAAAAGAUUUUAAAACUGAAAAAGUAUUACUUUUUGUUCUAGCAUACAAAUUCUCAAGCUAGUAUCAACAUGAAUUAGUUGAAAAAUGGAAUUUGAAUUUAUAUGACUUGAAUGAAAAGACAACUUUGCCUGCCUAGCUUGAGAACAUACAUCACAAGAAUGAUUAAAUGUGGUAAGAGAAGGAAAAUGAAAAUUUGAUAGAUUUUGCAUGCUAGAUAUGGGCAUGUGCCCCAAUCUUUUGUUCCAUAGGCUUACAUUAGAGUUGAUUCUAGCUGAACAAGAAACUGAAUGAGACACAAUGUGAUUCUUAAAGUUGUUGCAAGAAAAAAAAGACUGAAAAAAUGAUUGAUUUCCAUGAACUAGUCCGGAACUUAGAGAAACUGGACUAAGUAGAUAUAGACCUUCCUUCACUUCACCAACUACCUCUGCAAGAAUGUACGAAAAGAUGAGAAAAUCAAGGUACACAUGAGUUGUUUAGUGAGUUUGUGAACUGAAAUUAGAUUAAACUUGAAAUCUGGAACAUACAGCACAUUAUUUAGGAUUAAAUCUGGCAGAACAUGGACACUACCAACUUGACUGACCUUAACCUUAUAUGAAUUCGGCAGAUUGACGUAUAGAGAUUUGGUUAGAGGCUUUAUAUUAAAUAAAAUGGAAAGAUCAAAGUCAUAUGUUUUGAAGCUCCUGAAUCUAUUAUCCAGGAGGUAGAAUUCAUGUAAGGAAAACAGGAAAGACAAUAUAGAUUAGGGGCAUUGAUGGUUUUACCAGCAUAGUUGGCACUAGAAUUUGCAUCAGAACUCUGCUCACCCUGUUGUACCUUGUUGAAGAAGUUGAUAAAGCUAACUGAACUGUUCUUGAGUUAUGACUUUACCUGCUGUAUUUUCUACCAUUGUGUUUGCUGACAAAGAUGUGUUUUCUUCAUGCAUGAUUGCUGCAUUGCUGUGAGUUCCUCCAUGAUAUUUUCUGGAUUUGGUGAACUUCAAAGUGGAGGGAAAACCAAUGAUUCUAUAGCAUUUAUCAAUGGAAUGACCAGGUUUCUUGCAAUAGUUGCACAUCAGGUUACUCUUCUUUCCUUCAAGGUUUGCUUUGAAUUUUCCUUCCCUAUUAGCAUACUUUUGAAAAUAGGUUUGCUGAUUUCCUUCCAGAAAAGCAGUUUCAACAGGGUGUUGUGCAACAUGAAUUUCCCUUUGUUUCUCAUCUUGAAUGAAAAGAGAGUAGGCUUGAUUGACACUAGGCAGAGGGGUAAGCAUUAGAAUGUUACUCCUUACAGCUGAAUAGAUAUCAUUAAGUCCCAUGAGGAAUUGGAUGAGCCUGCCAUCUGCCACAACUCCUUUUUACAUACACUCGUAAAGGGUAUAAAUAUAAGGGAGUUUUUCCAAUUAAAGAACAAUCGAAACGGGAUUGUUUAUUUAUUAAAAAUCAGAGUCGCCACUUGGGAUAAUUUAGGGUGUCCCAAGUCACCGGUUGAAAUCCCAAAUCGAGGAAGUUGACUCUUAUUUAUGGUCCGCGAACACAGAAAUCCGGGUAAGGAAUUCUGUUAACCCGGAAGAAUGUAUUAGACAUUCCCGAGUUCCGUGGUUCUAGUACGGUUGCUUUUGAUUAUACUUGGCUUGCGAAAUUGUUUAUUUUCUCAUUUUGGAACCUAUGUGCUUUCACCUCUUAACCGCUUUUAAAUAAAAAAAAUCUUGAAACGGGUCACACGUACGUGUACCCAUUUGUUUGGCGCGUCAAAAAAUCAUGUCACGCGACCGUGUCCAUAAUUAAUAAUGCUUUAUUAUUGCCAAAAGUUUGGCCGAAGUUACGCGGACGUAUACACAAUCACGAUAGUGUGUUAAAUGUGCCUAGAGCAAAAUACCAACAUUUAUCAUAUUUUUUAUCUAGAUUAUUAACAUGAGGGCCAUGAAUAACUAAAUUGUAGAUGGCAUGCUUCAAAACUCGUAAAAUUGACUAGAGGCCUAUUAGCAACUAUUUCUAUUGUUAAAGGAAAUUGUUUGAAGUUGCGCGAACGCAUAUUCCAAUUUUAUUUUUAGAAACCGUAAUUAUGUCACGCGAACGUGUCCACAACCAUGAUAGUAUUUUUAAACGGUCCUAAAGGUUUCUCUACGAACAUUUGUUAUUUUACAUCUAUAUUAUGAAAUUAACACAAGAGCCAUUUGUUACUAAGUGUCUAAUUAUGGCUUGCCUCAAAUUAAUUACCAUAAAUAAUUGAACUAACGCGAUUUAAGGCCGAGGUAUGCAACUAUUAGGGAAAGGGGGAGGAGCAUUAGAUUAACAUAAACAACAAAUAAACCUUUAGGCUCAAGAAGAGGCCCAGGACAAACGAAAACAACGAGACAUACUCCUUAUUUCCGAAGGGGCCUCCAAGACCAGGCCAAACAGAAUGCCUUUAACAUGAGAUCUUAGACUGACCUCAGAGCCCAAAGACGAAACCCAAACGAACUCAGAAAAAUUAAAAACCAAACAAAUCAACUAAUUAACAAUCACAAACAAACGAGGAACUAAUUAAGCUAACUAAUUAAGCUCAGUGACCAAAACAAAGACAAAAAUGAGAAAUUUGAGCGUGGCACUAAUAAAAAAUUAACCAGACCAUAAACUUCAAAAAGAAAGUUGAAAAGCCAAUGACACAGAUACGAACGCAAAAUCAAUCUUAAGAGAACCUAGGUUUAGAACUUUGUUCAAAUCUCAGUCAAGGUAAAAAACAUAAAAAAAGUUAGAAGAAAAGAAGAGGAACAGAAGGUAAACUCGGAUAGAAGGGAAGGAAACUUAACCUAGCAAACCUGAAGUGGCGUCGGACACCUUGAUUUCAGCGGAACUGACACUAAUCACUUGUUCAUUGUCAAGAACAAAUGAGCAGCAUCAAUUCAUGUUGAAUCAGACUUCAAACUCGAGCAAAUCGGAGGCUUAAGGUCAUACAUGCCACAACUUUGACGGAAUUUUUAGGGUUCGAACUCAGAUUUAACAUUCGGAGAGUUCUAGGGUGAUUCAAGGGAAUCUAAGUGGGGAUUUAGGGUGAGGGAGAGACGGGGGUUCAGGGGUGUGAUUUUGGGGUCGAACCGAGGCGCCGCCGCCAUCGGAGAACACAGGGAGGCGCUAGGGUUUUCUUUCAAAUCAAGAUUCGAGACGUUCUGGGCUUGUUCGAUGGAAGGUGCUUGUAGAUUUGGACUGAGGGAGUUGAGGAGGGUAUUUGGUGUUAAUCUGAGGUCGGUUUGUGGUGGCGCCGCCUCCGACGGUGGGGGGAUUUAGGGGCGGCGUCGUUAGGGUUUGGCAGGGGCGGGUUGUGAGGGAGAUGAGUGAGGGGUGGGGGCAGGUUUGGACAUUUAAAUACUAAAGGACCUGGGCUUCUGGACCGUCCGAUCAAGAAACCUCGACGAUCCUGAUCUGCUGCCCGUAGNNNNNNNNNNNNNNNNNNNNNNNNNGGUUUUGGGGGGGGGGGGGGAAACCGACCGGGUUAGGGUGGUUUGGGCCGGGUAUUGGGUAAUUUUCAUUUGGGCUGGGACAAUUAAAUUGGGUUUGAGCCCAGAUUUGGAUUUUUUUCAUUCUUUCUUUUUCCUUUUUCAAUUUCACAAUUCUUUUCUUUUUCCAAAAUUCAAAUAAAACCUAAAUUAAUUAAUAAUAAUUUUUAAACUAAAUUAACCUACCCAAUUAGAUUAAUCACUCAACAUGGUAUUUACAAUAAUUAAUUAAAUCCUAAAUUUAAAGCAAAAUUAUACAAUUCAAAAUUAAAAAGUAAAAAUGCACAAUGAAUUAUUUUUGUGAUUUUUAUUUUUUAUAAAACAAAUUAAUUUGCUAAUUAAUCUAAAAAUAUUGAAAUUAAAUCCUAAAUGCAGAUGCAACAUAUUUUUUGUAUUUUUCAUGAAUUAAAUAAAAUAAACGUGCACAGACAAAUGCAAAUAAUUAACAGAAAAUGCCACGAAAUCCAACAAAAUUGCAGACACUGAAAGAAAUUAUUUUGUUUUGAAUUUGUUGGAAUAAUUCAGAUAGGGCAAAAAUCACGUGCUCACACCAUCUUGAAAGGAUUUGAAAGUCUUUGAUUUUCCUCUACAGUUGCAUUCAUAUGUACAAUGCACACAAGUAUUCAAGGUAUCUAACUCAUCCCAAAUCCUUUUCACCUAUGUAUAGUAACCUGCUAUAUCAGAGGUUCCCUGUACUAUAUCACUCAACUCCUUUUGUAACUGAUAAAGUUGAGCUCCAUUACAUUGCCCAAAUCUAACUUCAAGUUCUUUCCAAAUCUCAUUUGCAAUUUUAGAAUAAAGGACACUUUCAGCUAUGUCCUUAGAUAGAGAGUUCAAAAUCCAUGAUAUAACCAUAUCAUUGCAGCGAUUCCAAUGCUUGAAAUCAGUGGAAGUCGCAUCUGGUUGAUAAAAUGUUCCAUCGAUGAAACCAAGUUUGUUCUUGGCAGAAAAUGCAAUAAUUAUGGCUCUACACCAUCCUCCAUAUCCUUUCCCAUCAAAAACUGAGUUGACAAGAACCAUUCUUGAUGAAUCAGAUGAAUGAAGGUAAUUGAGGUGAGUGGAAUCGAUGAUGAUAGCAGCUGGUUGGUUAAUUGUUCUAGCUGCAGAAAUAUUUGAGGAGUCAUCUAUGGAGUUUGGUGCCAUUUCAAUAAAAGAGAAAGAAAAAAAAAGCUUCAGUUAUCUACUGCUCUGAUACCAAGUAGAGAUUUAGGAAAAUUUCUUUUUCUUAUUAUCCCACAUAUGCUGUACAGAAUGCAAAUUUAUACACCUAAAAAAUAGGAAUGAUGACUAUGGACAAUUACAGCUAUACUAAGUACAAGUGUGCCAUUCUUUAAUAUGUUAUCCUACUCAUUGUUUGCACUAUGACAUGUGCAUCUAUAAUUGCAUUUGGAUAUUGAUGUUCUGGAAGGAACAAGUGCCUUCCAGCUGUAUCCACUAUGCUACAAAAAUGGAUUGGAUGUGUUAAUAAAUUGGGCUAGACCUUAUGACAUAUUUGGGCUUUCAGUAUUUUGUUUAUUUGGACCAAUAUGUUAUAUUGGCCCAGUUUCUUGUUUGAGCCCGAUAGCCUCUGAAUUAUAUGUGCUGGUCUUCCAUUCUAUAGGUCAUUUGAGACACUUCUGCUUUCAUCUCUUCUUCAUCUUCUUCUUCGAUUGCAGCUGCUCUAUGUCGACCAGCUCUUGAUUUAGGGGCCAGGUUGUUGAUUUCCAGUCCAACAGAAAAUACCUAUCUCCUUUUGAAUACUUUUCUAUUAGAUGCCAUGAUUUUAAGAAGGAUAUUUUCCAUGAGCUAGUUGCCUUGCAAAAGAUUAAUUUUCUAUUGUGAUUUAGCACCUUUUCGCCUAAACAUCGUGCUUAUGAUUCCGAACAACUUGUUUAAAAAUAGAUUUAUCUAAAUGCAUACCGUUAAGCGAAGACUUGAUAUGCUUUCGCCGAAGUUUUGAACUUAUUGUUAUUAGUUAUCCAAAAUUCUUUUCUUUAGGAAACAUGGCUAUAGAAAUCCUAUGCUCUAUUUCUUUGUGCCGGUUAGUAAAUGGAUUUGAAAGUGUAGACGAACUUUAUUAAGAUGACAUUUAUGUCUUGAUAAAAUAUGUCCAUGUUGCUAUGUGAUUAUCAUUGGAAGUUUAUAUUUCAGUCAUUACCCUUAAGAGUUUGAUACUAGUCUAAAUAGCUGGAAGUAUUUAUCUCCGGCAUUUUGUCCAGAUUGUUGUGUGUUUGUUUGAUGAUAAGAAAUAUGGCUGGAAUUUCAUAAAAUAAUCUGACACUACGACCUCUUUGCAUAUCUUGAUCUUGAUAUAUUGUUAAAAAUCAAGUUCCACUUAGUAAUCCUUCUUAUCCUUGCAUAUAUAUGUUAAUUAAACUCUUAAGUUAUUUUGCUAAUUGUUUAUUUCUCUCUUCUUUUACAUGUAUACUUUGGAGCAUAUGGAGUCUUAAUGCGAGAUUUUCUUUAUCCACGUUUGGAGUCAACACAACUCAUUUUCCUUAGAAUGUGCCGGAUAGCAAGAAACAAGCGAAACGCUUGGGGAUGCCUACGGCGUCCUUCUUCUUUUAAUCUCUUUGCCACUCUAUUCUUAUCUAAUGUUUUUAUGAUUGUUAAGUUAUUUGUGUGCUUUGGAUUUACCUCAAGACUGGAAUUUUUUUUUUACAUUUGAGAGUUGCCGCUUAAGUGGAACUGACCUUGUUUUGGAAUCUUCCAUGUUGAGGUAAAUAUGGAAUUAUCCAAGUAUACUACAGCUUUUCAAGAUUAGCUACCUUGGAGAUUUAUUAUACAGUAAAUAUUUUAUGCUACAGCUGUACAAGUGUUCCGAUUUUAUGAACUUAUAGUUUUGUUAUGACUCACUUCUUAAACAUAACAUUAUUAUACAUGUAUUUUCUAAUUGA
rnacentral:lncRNA from 1 species